rnacentral:rRNA from 1 species
UACAGAGGGUGCAAGCGUUGUCCGGAAUCACUGGGCGUAAAGGGCGCGUAGGCGGCCUGAUAAGUCGGGGGUGAAAUUCGUGACGGCUUAACCGCAGGACGGCCUCGAGACUGUCGGGCUUGAGCACGGUAGAGGCAGGUGGAAUUCCCGGUGUAGCGGUGGAAUGCGUAGAGAUCGGGAAGAACAUCGGUGGCGAAGGCGGCCUGCUGGGCAGUAGCUGACACUGAGGCGCGACAGCGUGGGGAGCAAACAGGG